AUGAUUGUGGCACCAAGUCCUGAUGGAAGAAGGGGCGGACUGCUGCUAGUCUGGAAGAAGGAGGUUAGGAUCUACUCCCGGGCUUUCACCCUAGAUUUCAUUGAUGUUUCGGUACAAGAACAGAACGGGGAUACAUGGAGGCUGACUGGUAUUUACGGAGAGCCUGGCUGGGAUAAUAAAGAACGUACAUAUCAGCUCCUAAGAGACCUUCAUGAUCAGUCCAACCUGCCGUGGGCGGUUAUUGGGGACUUCAACGAGAUUCUCUUCUCCUCGGAGAAAGAGGGAGGAGCUCCCCGACAGCAGACUCGACUUGAGGCGUUCCAAGACGCGCUCUCAUACUGUUCUUUGGAGGAUGUAGGUUAUACCGGUGACAAGUUCACCUGGUUCCGUGGUGGACUGAAGGAGCGGCUUGAUCGGGCCGUCUCAAAUUCUGGAUGGAUGGCCUUGCAUCUUAUGGCGGGUCUGAGUAAUUUGGACAUGGGGAAAUCUGACCACCGGCCAAUCUGUUUGGAUACUGAAUAUCUCGCAGGGGUGGCUACUAGCAGACCAAAAUACGCACGCAAAUUUGAAGCAAGAUGGCUGGCAGAGGAAACUCUUGAAGAGAUAGUUAAAACGGCCUGGCUCAAAGCAACCAUUCAAGAUUCAGUAAACAAAAGCUAG
rnacentral:rRNA from 1 species